rnacentral:rRNA from 1 species
GAUGAACGCUGGCGGCGUGCCUAAUACAUGCAAGUCGAGCGGAAGCACGAGAAGAGCGUUUUUUUGCGGUUAGCGAGGGACGGGCGAGUAAGGAGUGGAUAAGAAACUUAUAUGACUGGGAGAACAACGGGGAGCAGGUGCUGCUAAUGGAUAAUACUUUGUACGGCAUGGUUCAAAAGUGCAAGGGAGUUUUGCUGAUACUUAUAGAUGGAGCCGCGCUGCAUUAGCUAGUUGGUAAGGUAACGGCUUACCAAGGCAACGAUGCGUAGCUGAUCUGAGAGGAUGAUCAGCCACACUGGAACUGAGACACGGUCCAGACUCCUACGGGAGGCAGCAGUGGGGAAUCUUGCGCAAUGGGCGAAAGCCUGACGGAGCAACGCCGCGUGGGUGAAGAAGGUCUUCGGGUCGUAAAGCUCUGUUAUUAGGGAAGAACAGAUGUGUGAUUAACUGUCCACGUCUUGACGGUACCUAAACAGAAAGCCACGGCUAACUUCGUG